rnacentral:rRNA from 1 species
AUUGAACGCUGGCGGCAGGCCUAACACAUGCAAGUCGAACGAGUGGCGGACGGGUGAGUAACGCGUGGUAACCUGCCUCAUAGCGGGGGAUAACUACUGGAAACGGUAGCUAAUAACGCAUACCAUCAGAUGUGCCCAGAUGGGAUUGGGUAGUUGGGGGGGUAACGGCUCACCAAGGCGACGAUCCCUAGCUGGUCUGAGAGGAUGACCAGGCACACGGGAACUGAGAAACGGUCCCGACUCCUACGGGAGGCAGCAGUGGGGAAACUUUGGCAAUGGACGGAAGUCUGACCGAGCAACGCCGCGGGAGUGAAGAAGGUUUUCGGAUCGUAAAGCUCGUUGUUAGAGAAGACGGUAACUAACCAGAAAGGGACGGCUAACUACGUGCCAGCAGCCGCGAUAAUAC